rnacentral:tRNA from 1 species
GGUCUCGUAGUGUAGCUGUUAACACGCCUGCCUGUCACGCAGGAGAUCGCGGGUUCGAUUCCCGUCGAGACCGCCA